UUGAUCAUGGCUCAGGAUGAACGCUGGCGGCGUGCCUAACACAUGCAAGUCGAACGAGAAAGCUAUCUUCGGAAAGCGAGUACAGUGGCGAACGGGUGAGUAACACGUUGGUGACCUGCCCCGAGGUGGGGGACAACCAUGGGAAACCAUGGCUAAUACCCCAGAUGUUGAGGAGUCUAGACGUCCUUAACUAAAGUUCCGACGCCUCGGGAUGGGCCUGCGGGCUAUCAGCUUGUUGGUGAGGUAAUGGCUCACCAAGGCUAAGACGGCUAGGGGGCGUGAGAGCGCGAUCCCCCACAAUGGGACUGAGACACGGCCCAUACUCCUACGGGAGGCAGCAGUGAGGAAUAUUGCACAAUGGGGGCAACCCUGAUGCAGCAACGCCGCGUGAACGAUGAAGGCCUUCGGGUCGUAAAGUUCUUUUCUGAGGGACGAUAAUGACGGUACCUCAGGAAUAAGUCCCGGCUAACUACGUGCCAGCAGCCGCGGUAAAACGUAGGGGGCGAGCGUUAUCCGGAUUUAUUUGGGCGUAAAGCGCACGUAGGCGGCGCGGUAAAGUUGGACGUGA
rnacentral:rRNA from 1 species